AUGCCUUGCUAUCCUGGUUUUCCUGCUCCUAUCUUGCUGUAGCUGGGAGUUAUUCGCACAUGGCUUCAUGCUGUGGGGUAAAUGUUGAGCCAAGCCACUUUGAAUUACAUUUGAGGCAUCUGAGGGAAGCAGCCCCUCCCCUCUGCUCUCAGGUUUGCUUUUGAUGCAGAAAGGGAGUGUAUCAUUAACUGUAUAAGCACCAGGACCCUCAGGGGGCACUAGGCAAGACACAAGACAGAGUUUGGAAGCAGCUCCUGAGAAGACAAGGCUCAGACCAGGGGAGGCAGCAAACUUUUGUUUUCUUUCCCAAGCAAGCAAGCAAGUAAGCAAGAAAGCUUGCAAACAAGCAAGUAAACCAACAAGAAAAGAAAGGGGAAAGGACAAGCUGGAUUCUGACCAGGAGUGAGUUCAGGCAAUCAGGUCGAGCAGCGCACACUGGCACUGAACAGCUGGGGGGAGGGCAGAUGGGGGCCAGCAGAUGGAUCACCCAACCACCCCCCAAAAAGAACAGAAAUAAAAACAGCAACCAGUUAAGUAACUGGAGUACUCCAACUUAAGAAAAAAAGAAGCAGUUGGCACUGCAAAAGAAAAGGAACAAUAAAGAGACAGAGAUAAUCCUCUUUCUAAGAUCCAGCAAGAAGGCAGCACAGGUCCAGCAAAAAGGCCCAGUAGAGCAGGGGUCCAGCAGCAGGGCAGAAGGGGUCCAGAAAAGCAAGGGGCAUGGCACCAAUGAAGUGCAAGGCAGCCAGCUCUUCCUCCAGAGAUCCAGAGGCAGAGUGACGCCAGGCAGGCACUGCCUGGAUUUAAAUACCGUUUGAAACUUCCUCCUUUUUGCUCCUCCCUCAUCCUGACACCACCUCCCCCCAGCCAAUGGGGGCAGAGUUUCCCUGAUAACACUCGAUUCUGAAUAACAAGCCAACCAGAGCAAAGGAGAUUGCAAGACGAUCGGAAGACCGUGGCAGUAAACACACCAGACAAAAUGGUCGCUGCUACAGAUGUUCGAACCAUUGAACUGGUUCAAACCAGUUCAGAUCUAACCAUGUGACUGCUUUGGUUUGAUCAUUGACUGGCCACCUUUUUUUGAGAUCUGUCCAUUUUGCAAUCAAGCCAGUUGAAACUGGCAUGACGCAUCCCUUCAUCCUACCCCUUUUUGUUCUGUUACACAUUAAGUUUUAAUCUAGCUAUCCAUAGGCAAAACAAAGGAAGUAGAGCUACAUAAUAAUAUUUUGUAAUUUGGAAACUGCCAGCCCACCAUUUAGAUUAAUAUCUGUUCGGCCUAUAUAGUUGUAAAUAAAUAUAUUUAUACAACGGCAUCAUAGGUUUCCAGUGGUAGCUCCUUCACGGAAAAUGUACUCUCUAUAGACUACCUAGAACUUCCCACUACUUGGGAAGAGGGAAGAGCUCAUCAGUGUUUGCCAACUGAGCAAAGAGGCACCUUUUUAAUGUGGUGAUUCUCUUUUAUUUAGCAGGGGGAGAGUAACUGGCCCUAUCCACCCCCAGCACAGAACUUCCAGUGACUUUUGCUGGUGUCUACCAUGUUUCGUCUGAGAGUGUGAGCCCUUUGGGGACAGGGAUCCUUCUUUCUUGCUUUCUUUCUUUCUUUCUUUCUUUCUUUCUUUCUUUCUUUCUUUCUUUCUUUCUUUCUUUCUUGUUGUAAACCACUUUGGAACCUUUUGUUGAAAAACAGUAUAUAAAUUGUUGUUGUUGCUGUUAUAGUUAUAAGCAUUUAUUUUGCAUCAACAGUGCUAUUUCAUAAGUGGUGUUGCAGAUAUGCAGUGACUAUGGCACUAAAUAAAGAUCAAUAGCAA